AUAUCUGGCCUUUGGGCUGAGAUAAAUUGUUGUAUCUGCCUUUGCCUGCUGAAUAUCUGAUGACCCUUCGGUGGAAGGAUCAUUGAUCAAUGACUUUUUGGAGCUGGGUGGUGGUACAGGAGCCUGCUCUGGCCAUGUCACACGUGGCCCUGGCACUGCGGUGCCCUGGGGGCUGGUUGUCAGCA